rnacentral:rRNA from 1 species
GCUGGCGGCGCGCCUUAUGCAUGCAAGUCGAGCGAAGCUUUUCAGUAGUUUACUACAGAAAAUGACUGAGCGGCGAACGGGUGAGUAACGCGUGAGCAAUCUACCUUAGUUACAGGAAUAGCCCGAGGAAACUCGGAUCUAAUACCUGAUAUUCUUCCUAUCUCGCAUGAGAUUUUAAGGAAAGGUCAGCCGAACUAAGAUGAGCUCGCGUUCUAUCAGCUAGUUGGUGAGGUAAUAGCUCACCAAGGCUACGACGGAUAGCUGGUCUGAGAGGACGAUCAGCCACACUGGGACUGAGACACGGCCCAGACUCCUACGGGAGGCUGCAGCAGGGAAUAUUGCGCAAUGAGCGAAAGCUUGACGCAGCGACACCGCGUGUGGGAUGACGGAUCUAGGUUUGUAAACCACUUUCAGGAGGGAAGAAAAUGACGGUACCUCCACAAGAAGCCCCGGCCAACUACGUGCCAGCAGCCGCGGUAAUACGUAGGGGGCCGAGCGUUGUCCGGAUUUAUUGGGCGUAAAGAGCUCGUAGGCGGUUCAACAAGUCGGUCGUGAAAGUUCAGGGCUCAACCCUGAAAUGUCGAUCGAUACUGUUGUGACUAGGAUACCGUAGAGGUGAGUGGAAUUCC